rnacentral:rRNA from 1 species
GACGAACGCUGGCGGCGUGCUUAACACAUGCAAGUCGAACGAAGUGGCGAACGGGUGAGUAACGCGUAGUCAACCUGCCCUUCAGAGGGGGACAACAGUUGGAAACGACUGAUAAUACCGCAUACUGAAGGAGGGGAUUGCGUGUGAUUAGCUGGUUGGGGGGGUAAAGGCCCACCAAGGCGAUGAUCAGUCGCCUGUCUGAGAGGAGGAACUGCCACAGUGGGACUGAGACACGGCCCAGAAUUCUACGGGAGGGAGCAGUUGGGAAUCUUCCGCAAUGGACGAAAGUCUGACGGAGCAACGCCGCGGGAGAGAUGACGGCCUUCGGGUUGGAAAGCUCUGUUAAUCGGGGCGCGGUACCGGAAUAGAAAGCCACGGCUAACUACGUGCCAGCCGCCGCGGUAAUUC